CACUCCUGCGGGAGGCAGCAGUGGGGAAUAUUGGACAAUGGGCGCAAGCCUGAUCCAGCCAUGCCGCGUGAGUGAUGAAGGCCCUAGGGUUGUAAAGCUCUUUCACCGGUGAAGAUAAUGACGGUAACCGGAGAAGAAGCCCCGGCUAACUUCGUGCCAGCAGCCGCGGUAAUACGCAGGGGGCUAGCGUUGUUCGGAUUUACUGGGCGUAAAGCGCACGUAGGCGGACUAUUAAGUCAGGGGUGAAAUCCCGGGGCUCAACCCCGGAACUGCCUUUGAUACUGGUAGUCUUGAGUUCGAGAGAGGUGAGUGGAAUUCCGAGUGUAGAGGUGAAAUUCGUAGAUAUUCGGAGGAACACCAGUGGCGAAGGCGGCUCACUGGCUCGAUACUGACGCUGAGGUGCGAAAGCGUGGGGAGCAAACAGGAUUAGAUACCCGGGUAGUCCCAUGA
rnacentral:rRNA from 1 species